rfam:Enterococcus mundtii QT 25 plasmid pQY082 DNA, complete genome.
UAAUUAAGACAACAAAAGGAGCUAUGCGUGAACAUAGCUCCUGUGUAGAACCGUUAAAAAGACGGUGACUGAAUUAAAUGAAUUUCUCA